GACGAACGCUGGCGGCGCGCCUAACACAUGCAAGUCGAACGAGCGAGAGAGAGCUUGCUUUCUCGAGCGAGUGGCGAACGGGUGAGUAACGCGUGAGGAACCUGCCUCAAAGAGGGGGACAACAGUUGGAAACGACUGCUAAUACCGCAUAAGCCCACGGGUCUGCAUCGACCAGAGGGAAAAGGAGCAAUCCGCUUUGAGAUGGCCUCGCGUCCGAUUAGCUAGUUGGUGAGGUAACGGCCCACCAAGGCGACGAUCGGUAGCCGGACUGAGAGGUUGAACGGCCACAUUGGGACUGAGACACGGCCCAGACUCCUACGGGAGGCAGCAGUGGGGAAUAUUGCACAAUGGGGGAAACCCUGAUGCAGCGACGCCGCGUGGAGGAAGAAGGUCUUCGGAUUGUAAACUCCUGU
rnacentral:rRNA from 1 species